rnacentral:rRNA from 1 species
UACGUAGGGCGCGAGCGUUGUCCGGAAUUAUUGGGCGUAAAGAGCUCGUAGGCGGCCUGUCGCGUCCGCUGUGAAAACCCGGGGCUUAACCCCGGGCCUGCAGUGGAUACGGGCAGACUAGAGGUAUGCAGGGGAGAACGGAAUUCCUGGUGUAGCGGUGAAAUGCGCAGAUAUCAGGAGGAACACCGGUGGCGAAGGCGGUUCUCUGGGCAUUACCUGACGCUGAGGAGCGAAAGUGUGGGGAGCGAACAGG